rnacentral:tRNA from 1 species
GCUGAUGUGGCUCAGCCGGUAGAGCAGUUCACUCGUAAUGAACAGGUCGGGAGUCCGAAUCUCCCCAUCAGCUCCA